ACUUCCUUUGCAGAGGAAAUUUUAAGGUACAAAGGACAAUUCACUAAAAUUAUAUUGAGCCGGUGGACACUUCUAUUUGCCCAAAAAAAAAGUAAUCAUUUUUCUAUGGAACAAAGGUGUUGACAUAUUACAAAGCAGAUAGAUCAAAGCAAAGAUCCCCCAAUCAAAGAGAAUUUACCUCAAAAACACAGGGAGCUUGAUCUAUCAUUCUUACAAAUACCUUUUAUCUGCAUCCAUCUACUUCUCAAGAGUCAUUUUCUUGGCCAUCUUCAUGACCUAAACAACAGGUAGCCGCUUGUUAUUUUACAUAUACAACUAAACCCAGCACAGAUACAUACCGAGACUCUUGCAUAU
rnacentral:lncRNA from 1 species